rnacentral:rRNA from 1 species
AUGGCGCCGCCGUUCGCCGUCGCCGCAGUUUCCUCCUCAUCCCCUCUCUUCUCCUCCUCCUCAUCCCCUCUCUUCUCCUCCUCCUCAUCCCGCCCCAUCCUCCGCGGCCACCCGUCGCUGGGUUAUAUCUCCGUGCGGCCACGGCACCGCUCGGCUGUGGCCUCCGCCGCGGCGACCGAGUCCGCUGGAAAGCUCCUUCUCGAGGUACACGGGCUUACCGCCUCCGUCAAGGAGACUGGGCAGCAGAUCCUAAAAGGCGUCGACCUCACCAUCCGCGAGGGCGAGGUUCAUGCGAUCAUGGGGAAGAACGGCUCCGGCAAGAGCACCCUCACAAAGGUUCUUGUUGGCCAUCCACACUACGAGGUAACUGGUGGUACCAUUCUCUUCAAGGGUGAGAACUUAAUUGACAUGGAGCCAGAGGAAAGAUCUCUUGCAGGCCUCUUUAUGAGCUUCCAAGCGCCUAUUGAAAUUCCUGGAGUGAGCAAUUAUGAUUUUCUGCUCAUGGCAAUAAAUGCUCGCAGAGAGAAGGACGGUCUCCCAGCUUUGGGACCUCUUGAGUUCUAUUCUGUUGUAUCACAAAAAGUCGAGGCCUUAAAGAUGGAGCCAAAGAUCCUUGAUCGUAAUGUAAACGAAGGAUUUAGUGGUGGAGAAAGAAAGCGCAAUGAGAUACUGCAACUUUCUGUCCUUGGGGCUGAUUUAGCCCUCCUCGAUGAAAUCGAUUCUGGAUUAGAUGUUGAUGCACUUGAAGAUGUAGCUCAUGCAGUGAAUGGGCUCUUGACUCCCCAAAACUCCGUUCUGAUGAUUACACAUUACCAACGUCUUUUGGAUCUUAUUAAGCCAAGCUAUGUUCACAUCAUGGAAAGUGGCAAGAUAGUGAAGACAGGUGACAGCUCUCUAGCCAGCCACAUCAACGAGGGUGGCUACAAAUCAAUCGCUUCUUUUGUAUAG